rnacentral:rRNA from 1 species
CCUACGGGGGGCAGCAGUGAGGAAUAUUGGUCAAUGGACGCAAGGCUGAACCAGCCAAGUCGCGUGAGGGCAUAAGGCCCUAUGGGUCGUAAACCUCUUUUGUCAGGGAGCAAAGGCGUCCACGAGUGGACGAAAGGAGAGUACCUGAAGAAAAAGCAUCGGCUAACUCCGUGCCAGCAGCCGCGGUAAUACGGAGGAUGCGAGCGUUAUCCGGAUUUAUUGGGUUUAAAGGGUGCGUAGGCGGAGUGUCAAGUCAGCGGUAAAAUUUCGGGGCUCAACCCCGUCGUGCCGUUGAAACUGACACCCUAGAGUGAGUGAGAAGUAAGCGGAAUGCGUGGUGUAGCGGUGAAAUGCAUAGAGAUCACGCAGAACGCCGAUUGCGAAGGCAGUUCACCGGACUGCAACUGACACUGAGGCUCGAAAGUGUGGGUAUCAAACAGGAUUAGAUACCCUAGUAGUC